CUCACCAUCGCAGCUCCCGCCUCCUGUCUCAUGUCCCUUUCAACUAAACUUACUGACAUUGAAUGGUAAAGUGCCCACCAUGGAUGCAUAAGGAGACUUGGAUACAGCAUUGGAGGCGGAGCCCUCUUCAUUCCUACGGCCUAAUUAGAAGCCUACUGUGUGUGUCAUCAUGUAACGUCACUCACAGAAACACAGGGACGGUUGU